CCUACGGGAGGCAGCAGUGAGGAAUAUUGGUCAAUGGGCGCGAGCCUGAACCAGCCAAGUAGCGUGAAGGAUGACUGCCCUACGGGUUGUAAACUUCUUUUAUAAGGGAAUAAAGUGCGGGACGUGUCCCGUUUUGUAUGUACCUUAUGAAUAAGGAUCGGCUAACUGCGUGCCAGCAGCCGCGGUAAUACGGAGGAUCCGAGCGUUAUCCGGAUUUAUUGGGUUUAAAGGGUGCGUAGGCGGCCUUUUAAGUCAGCGGUGAAAGUCUGUGGCUCAACCAUAGAAUUGCCGUUGAAACUGGGAGGCUUGAGUAUGUUUGAGGCAGGCGGAAUGCGUGGUGUAGCGGUGAUAUGCUUAGAUAUCACGCAGAACCCCGAUUGCGAAGGCAGCCUGCCAAGCCAUGACUGACGCUGAUGCACGAAAGCGUGGGGAUCAAACAGGAUUAGAUACCCCUGUAGUC
rnacentral:rRNA from 1 species